rnacentral:rRNA from 1 species
UCCGAAGGGCAUGCCUGUUCGAGCGUCAUUUCACCAAUCAAGCCUGGCUUGGUGUUGGGCCCCGGGGGUGACCCGGGCCCCAAUGUCCGCCGGCCGGACGACCCGGACCUCAGCGUUAUGGCACUGUAAAGUUCCGCUGGAGGGGAAGGGUUGGCCGCGCCGUCAACGAAAACACUUCUGAAAGGUUGACCUCGGAUCAGGUAGGGAUACCCGCUGAACUUAAGCAUAUCAAUAAGCGGAGGAAAAGAAACCAACAGGGAUUGCCCUAGUAACGGCGAGUGAAGCGGCAACAGCUCAAAUUUGAAAUCUGGCGCAAGCCCGAAUUGUAAUUUGUAGAGGAUGCUUCGAGGCAGCGGCCGGUCUAAGUUCCUUGGAACAGGACGUCAUAGAGGGUGAGAAUCCCGUACGUGACUGGUUGGCACCUCACACGUAGCUCCUUCGACGAGUCGAGUUGUUUGGGAAUGCAGCUCUAAAUGGGAGGUAAAUUCCUUCUAAAGCUAAAUACCGGCCAGAGACCGAUAGCGCACAAGUAGAGUGAUCGAAAGAUGAAAAGCACUUUGGAAAGAGAGUUAAAAAGCACGUGAAAUUGUUGAAAGGGAAGCGCUUGCAACCAGACUUGACGGCGGCGUUCAACCGGUCUUCUGACCGGCCCACUCGUCGCCGGCAGGCCAGCAUCGUCUCGGGCCGCCGGAGAAAGGCGUGAGGAAUGUGGCUCCUCCGGGAGUGUUAUAGCCUCGCGCACAAUACGGCGCGCCUGGGGCGAGGUCCGCGU